UACAAACUUUUGAAAAGAAACAAGCAUAAUACAAUGAACAUUUUCUUUGUCAGAUUGAUGUGUUGUAGAUAUGAGCAAACCCUUUAUUCAUUUUAAGGCCCCUCCUCAGCCAUUUUUGUCUCACCAACUUUUAGACACACAAUGUAAAUUCAAUCAUUCAAACUUCAACUAAACAGUGCUAAUUUAAAACAAAUUUUAUAUCAAGAUGCUUUACAAAAUGUUAACUUAUACGCAAAGACCCAUCUUCAAUCUCAUUCUGUCUUAAUCCACUAUGAGCAGAGAAACUUGCAGUAUUCAGUAACUUACAGUGGCAAAUAAAAGGUUCCUUUGAACCGACAGAAACCCUGAACAGAAGCAGAAUUACGCUGAACAAACAUCUGCUGUGUUGGGAUUUGAAGGAGGGUAGAUGGAACUUCCAGUCUUUACAGCAAAGCUUAUCAUGUUUAAAACCUGGUUGAAUUUUUUAAAAUUGUUUUGGCGUUCAUUUUUCACAGUGUAAGGGUGUCAGGAAAUCAGGUUUAAUCAUACUUCACUGGUUUGAAUGAUUUCAAGUCUUGUAGUUCCCCAUGGUAAGGGACAUAAGACCAGCUGGUUGUCAUAUUAGCUGAUUCAAGCCUCUUGACAUUUUGACUGCUUUUUAGGUGUUGGUGCCUUGUAAGCUUGCUGUGCUGUUAUUUUAGUGACCCGUCAAGCAGGGAGAAAAAAAUCUGGUACAAUAUCAGAGACAUGUCAGCAGGACUGACAGGAGCAGAUGUUUUCCGGUAGGCUCACUCAGUAUUUGUCAAAUUUGAGAAGGUCUGUUUAUAAAAGUGAGGAUUGUUGUCAGCUUUUUGUUUCUAUGGAAAAAAGACAAGAGACUCUAGGCAUGAAGACACAUCUGAGCCUAAAGUAUUUGGUAUUCAACAUUCACUCAUUCAUAUCUAUGCCUGGCAUUCUGUUAACCAACUCUCAGCCUUUUUAGUCUUAACAACUUUAAUUUAUCUUAUUAACAAGCUUAAUGCUCAGCUAAUGAACCAGCUGGAGGCAUGAACUGGAUAGCUCUAAUAGCUGAUCUGAUAGCCCAUCCAUCCAUCCAUCCAUCCAUUUAUCUACUUUGCAUUAAUCCACCCAUCCAUCCAACCAUGCCUCCAUGUAUCCAUGCAUCUAUUCACCCAUUUAGUUAUUUAAUUAUUUAUCCAUCCAUUCAUCCAUCCAUCCAUUCAUUCAUCCAUCCAUCCAUGAAUGGGGAGUUGCCAGUCCUAAAUCUGUGUGAAGUAGAUUAGAUUAGAUAUUGGAAUAUUUGUCCUUUGGGAUUUUCCUCAAGAGUUAGUGGUGAAAAAAUUGUUUGUUCAGAGUCAAAUCCCCAAUUUCUCAAUUCAAGUCCACUUCAUUAAUAGAAUCAUUAGACACUAAAAAAUCCCUGCUUUACCCCAGCUUGAACCUGAACUGACUGGGUGGGACCUUCUGGAUGUUUUCAAUUUUACAAAAAGGAGUCAGCUUGUGGCUCUGUGCGAAAGAUGCAGGAAGAAUGGUACCAGUGUACAAUGAAAAACUGAUUCUGUAAUGAGAACAUCUAAAGUUCUCCACAGUGAGAGGUGUGUGUGUGUGUGUGUGUGUGUGUGUGUGUGUGUGUGUGUGUGUGUGUGUGUGUGUGUGUGUGUGUGUGUGUGUGUGUGUGUGUGUGCGUGUGUGUGUGUGUGAGUGUGUGUGUGUGUGUGUGUAUUUUACAAGGAACAUUAAUAUAUGAAGGUUUUGUGACAAGUGUACUCAAUGACCUCUUUUCUUUGCAUUCAUUCUUGUAUCUUUUUUCUUUUGGUAAAGACUAAAGUGGGUCAAUAAUUUCAGAAAAUAUUAUCAGGGCUUUUAUUGCUUUUGUAGAGAGAGGACAGGACAGUGGACAAAGCAGGAAAUGGGGAGUGAGUGGCUGGAAUCAGGCCUGGACCUUGAGGCACAUCAUCCAUAUAUAGAGUGUGUGAGAGAGUGCUGGGCUGGUGAUAUGCCAAAUACACCUGCAGUAGUAAGACCACUGAGAACAUAUACAGCUGAACAUGAGAAAAUUUUAUAAGCUGUAAAGAAAGUAAAACCUUCUCUGAACAUUGACUCUCCAGAUACGAGCUGUGAGCCAUUAGUAGCUUUUGUGCAGAUUUGUAGAGAAAAGUUCUUACUCUUUGUACCAAAACAAAACUUUAUAGACAUCAUCUGAUGUCUAUGAAGUACAGCUGAAGUUUGAGCCCAUGUCUUGCCCUCGAUUCUUUAGUAUAUCAAACCUGUUGUACCCUCUUUCAGCACCCUGACAGGAACUGUUGCUGAACAUAUGCUGCCAUUCAGAUACCAAUUCAGAGUCCUGCCAGCAGUCCUGACUAUAUUCACCUGUGAUAAACAUUUUACCGAUCAUAACCCAAAAAUCAUGACAAAGUAGACCUUAAUCUGUUGAGCAUCUGAAAUCUUCCCUUAACCUGUAAAAAAAAAAAGGUCAUCAAUGACCAGCAUAGGUUUUUUUUCUUCCUUAUCAAAAUAUAAUGAUAUUUAGUAAAAGUGUUUUCAUGCUCUGUAAAGGAACCUAAGACAAACUUUAUAUUUCAGUACACAAAAAAAGACUUUACUUGACAUUUACUGUUUUGUAUGAAAUACUAAAGCUUUUAGAUAUGAAUGCUAAAGUGUGUGUUUAUAUGUCGGUGUGUGCAAAGGGGGUUAUUCUUAAACAUCUUAAGCAACAGCUCAGAUUUGUUGAGCAGUUGUGAUGAUGGGGAGAAAAGCCUUGUCAUCAUGAAAUCCCGCUGGGAUGAACAUUUUGGAGACUUAAAAUGAAGUCUUGAAUUCCAUGGAAAAAUCCAGACUGGUUUGUGUAUCAAUGUUUUUGGGGCAUUUCUCCUCAUGAUCUAUCUUUGUAAUUGUAACAUCAUCAUCCAUGACCCCAGUGACCCAGCUUGAGAAUUACAGUUGUGUGGUACUGCAAGUGGAUGAGUUUGUGCAGGGAUAUGAAGAAUUCAUCCUAUUCUAUCUGUGUGUGUGUGUGUGUGUGUGUGUGUGUGUGUGUGUGUGUGUGUGUGUGUGUGUGUGUGUGUGUGUGUGUGUGUGUGUGUGUGUGUGUGUGUGUGUGUUGAGUGGGGGAGGCUGACAGCUGUGGACAGAUUAGGGCUGAGAUUUUCUGGGGGCAGCUCUUUGUGUGUUUGUUAUGUGCCUGUGUUUAAAGUAUUUUAGAGAUUAGUGCUGUGUGUUUACAGAGCGUGUUUGCAGUUUUUCUAUUCUUGAAAGUGUUUGUUUUUUUUUCCCACUAUCACCUUACCUCCAGUGCUGUGUGAUUCCUGCUGCCUGUGUCCCUGGUUUCACUAUCAGUGUUCAUAGAUGGCACCUACCUCAACAAUGUCAAAAUGUUUUCCCUGCAACAGCAAACCAAACACCCACUCAUGAACUUGCAGUACCUCACAGUCUGCCCAACUGUCCGCUGCAUUAAGAGGACAUUGUUAGAGCAGUAAAAUGCAGGUAAAAAUCCACUUGAGCACAUUGAUAAGGGUUAAAAUCAGCUCUCACUCCAAUUUCUGAUUUCACCAUUUAAAGCAGACUUACUAGUGCAGGUCAAAAUAUUAGAAGGUCUCUCAUAAUUUAGUUCAAAAAAGGAAACUUACAUAUGUUCUGGGAAGAGCCGGCCCAAGCCCCAAGGCAUAAGUGAACUAAGCGCCUGCUUCGGGCCCUGCAGCCAAUAGGGGGCCCCCAAGAGCAAUAAUUAAAUAAUAAUAAUAACAUAUACAGUGCAUCCGGAAAGUAUUCAUACCACUUCACUUUUUCCACAUUUUGUUAUGUUACAGCCUUAUUCCAAAAUGGAUUAAAUUCCUUUUUUCCCUCAAAAAUUCUACACAAAAUACCCCAUAAUGACAAAGCAAAAAACUUUUUUUUAGAACAUUCUGCAAAUUUAUUAAAAAUAAGACACUCAAAUGUUGCAUAUACACAAGUAUUCACACCCUUCGCUAUAAAACUCAAAAUUGAGCUCAGGUGCAUCCUGUUUCCACUGAUCAGCCUUGAAAUGUUCCUCCAACUUGAUUGCAGUCCACCUGUGGCAAAUUCAGCUGAUUGGACAUGAUUUGGAAAGCCACACCUGUCUAUAUAAGAUCCCACAGCUGACAGAGAACGUCAGAGCACAAACCAAGCCAUGAAGUCGAAAGAAUUGUCUGUAGACCUCCGAAACAGGGUUGUAUCGGCGCACAGAUCUGUGGAAGGUUACAGAAAAAUAUCUGCUGCGCUGAAGAUCCCAAAAAGCACAGUGGUCUCCAUCAUUAAGAAAUGGAAGACGUUUGGAACCACCAGGACUCUUCCUAGAGCUGGCCGCCAAGCCAAAAUGAGCAAGCAGGGGAGAAGGGCCUUGGUCAGGGAGGUGACCAAGAACCAGAUGGUCACUCUGACAGAGCUCCAGCGUUCUUCUGAGGAGAUGGGAGAACCCUACAGAAGGACCACCAUCUCUGCAGCACUCCACCAGUCAGGCAUUUAUGGUAGAGUGGCCAGACAGAAGCCUCUCCUCAGUAAAAAGCAC
rnacentral:lncRNA from 1 species